UACGGGGGGGGCAAGCGUUGUUCGGAAUUACUGGGCGUAAAGGGCUCGUAGGUGGUCAACUAAGUCAUACGUGAAAUCCCUCGGCUUAACCGGGGAACUGCGCCUGAUACUGGUUGACUUGAGUUUGGGAGAGGGACGCGGAAUUCCAGGUGUAGCGGUGAAAUGCGUAGAUAUCUGGAGGAACACCGGUGGCGAAGGCGGCGUUCUGGACCAAUACUGACACUGAGGAGCGAAAGCCAGGGGAGCAAACGGG
rnacentral:rRNA from 1 species